CUCUCGCGACUGAAAAUAGCUAGGGUUCCACGGCGAGCCUCCCAGCCGCCGCCGGUGCCCUCCGCCGUCGUGAGCCUCCCAGCCGCUGUCGCGAGCCUCUCCGCCGCUGCCGGUGCCCUCCGCCGUCGCGAGCCAUUGCCAGUGCCCUCCCCGUCUGCCGCCACCGAUGCUCUCCCAGCCGCUGUCGUGCGUUUGCAGACGCCAUGGAGCCGGCGGUGCGCGUGCAGCUGGCAGGGCUCGGUGAGGACAACCGCCAGGAGGGGCUGUGUAGGCGGCCGUCGCCCCAUCCGCUCCAUCCUCUCCUCGAGGCCCAGUUCGAGCGGGCAACAUGGCGGUCCCAGAUUUGCGGCGGAUCUAGCUCGCCCACCUCUUUCCCCAGUUUUUGUUGCUUCGGAUCGCUUCCUCCUUGACACCCCGAUCCGGACGGCGGCAACAGCGAUGGCGUCGACACUCAGCGUGCCUACCUCUCCAUCUAUAACUGGCCCAUCUUCUUUGGAAGCCUAAUUGGGAUCCUCGGAGAGAACAACAGCUCCAAAUCGUCAGUACCACUCUCAUGCAAGUGCGGUACCGCGUGCGGCUGCUCCUGCUGCAGCUGCAACUGAGCCGGCGCCCAGGAGGCCAGCCGGCAGAGGCGAGCACGAGGAUGAGAGGAGGACAAGCAACCAACCAAGCAAGCACCAUCACCAGUUCGCCACCAAACCAAUCUCAAUUUCACUGCCCUCAGUCGCACGUUCUGUAUGCAGGUGCUGAAGGAGAGCAUCAAGAUCUAAUGUGCGGUGAACGAUGGCAUCAUCAACCUCGUGGAUGUGCCACCGGCGUCGUUUCUUGUGACGAUGGAACAGUACAUCAGAGAAGCUCCCAGGGCUGGUCAGGUUGCAAACAAGACCAUUGUUGUGGCAGGAACAUCCAUAUCUGGUCUGCUGGCCAAUUUUAAAUUCUUGUUUAUGCGGAGAGGCGCCGAGCCAGCUGCUAGUGUCGUCUGCUUUUGGCAGUUGUUGAUGAGAUGAAUGUGGGCAUCAACCGACCUCAGCAGCAGCUCCAGGAAUAGCCUUCACCUGGGUGUGCCGUGUGCAGCACCACCACCACUAGUAGCAGCAGCUCUAGGAUAAGGCCUAGAGGUGGAGUGGAGGAGUGUUGUGUGCAGCAGCACCACCACCAGUAGUAGCAGCAGCUCGGGAGAGGAGGAUCGCCUGGGCCUAGAAGUGGAGGCGCUUGGACCUGGGUGCAGUCUUGGAGGUGGAGGCACCAGGAUCUGGGUGGAGGUGGAUGUGGAGGUCGAGGGCGAGGCCGGAUGUGCCAUAUAUUAUGUAGUAAUGCCAAAUAUUAUGACAUGGAUGUGCUAUAUCUAUAUAAUGGGAUAUGGAUUAUGUUAUAUGA